rnacentral:rRNA from 1 species
UACAGAGGUCCCAAGCGUUGUUCGGAUUCAUUGGGCGUAAAGGGUGCGUAGGCGGCGCGGUAAGUCGGGUGUGAAAUCUCGGAGCUUAACUCCGAAACUGCAUUCGAUACUGCCGUGCUUGAGGACUGGAGAGGAGACUGGAAUUUACGGUGUAGCGGUGAAAUGCGUAGAUAUCUGGAGGAACACCGGUGGCGAAGGCGGCAUCCUGGACCAACACUGACGCUGAGUGAGCGAAAGCCAGGGGAGCAAACGGG